rnacentral:rRNA from 1 species
UACAGAGGUGCCGAGCGUUAGGCGGAAUCACUGGGCUUAAAGCGCGUGUAGGUGGAUCGUUAAGUGUCUUGUGAAAUCCCACGGCUCAACCGUGGAACUGCGUGGCAUACUGACGAUCUUGAGGCACUCAGGGGCUGUCGGAACAAAUGGUGGAGCGGUGAAAUGCGUAGAUAUCAUUUGGAACGCCAAUGGUGAAAACAGACAGCUGGGGGCGUCCUGACACUGAGACACGAAAGCCAGGGGAGCGAACGGG